CAAGAGUCGAAUGCUUAAACGACCGAGCCACCCAGGCAUCCCCAACAUGGUUUGAUCAAAUCGUUUUUAUUACCUGGAACCAGAAACAACUUACAGGAUACCAAAGCACAAGUUAAGGAAAAUCAUCUGUGAUUCCAGUGGGAGAAGUGGGGAGAAAACAGUCCACCUACUUGCCUGGAAGAGCGUGUGGUCUAAACAGCUAUUUGACUCUGUAUCCAGUCUUCAACUAGUUGUAUUGACCCUAUGUUUUUUAAUACACUCUAAAUCUCUUUACCAUAUUGACAA